rnacentral:rRNA from 1 species
GACGAACGCUGGCGGCGUGCUUAACACAUGCAAGUCGAGCGGAAAGGCCUUUCGGGGUACUCGAGCGGCGAACGGGUGAGUAACACGUGAGUAAUCUGCCCUGUGCUCUGGGAUAGCCACCGGAAACGGUGAUUAAUACCGGAUAUGACCAGCCUACGCAUGUGGUGUUGGUGGAAAGUUUUUUCGGCGCAGGAUGUGCUCGCGGCCUAUCAGCUUGUUGGUGAGGUAAUGGCUCACCAAGGCUUUGACGGGUAGCCGGCCUGAGAGGGUGACCGGUCACACUGGGACUGAGACACGGCCCAGACUCCUACGGGAGGCAGCAGUGGGGAAUAUUGGACAAUGGGCGGAAGCCUGAUCCAGCAACGCCGCGUGAGGGAUGACGGCCUUCGGGUUGUAAACCUCUUUCAGUACCGACGAAGCGCAAGUGACGGUAGGUACAGAAGAAGGACCGGCCAACUACGUGCCAGCAGCCGCAGUAACAC